rnacentral:lncRNA from 1 species
GCUGUGCUGGCAAUCAGCGAGACUCCGUCGGGUAGGACCCUCCGAGCCAGAUGCGGGAUAUAAUCUCGUGGUGCGCCGUUUUUUAGGCCGGUCCGAAAAGCGCAAUAUUCGGGUGGGAGUGACCCGAUUUUCCAGUUGAAGAAGACCAGGAAAGAAUCUUCUUUUAAAAAACUGAGCUCUAUCUGUCCUGAUUCCUGGUGCUGCUUCAGUUCCGGAGGCUGGGAAGUUCAAGUCAUGAAAUCCAAGAUGAAGGUGCCAGCAG